UACGAAGGGGGCUAGUGUUGCUCGGAAUCACUGGGCGUAAAGGGUGCGUAGGCGGGUCUUUAAGUCAGGGGUGAAAUCCUGGAGCUCAACUCCAGAACUGCCUUUGAUACUGAGGAUCUUGAGUUCGGGAGAGGUGAGUGGAACUGCGAGUGUAGAGGUGAAAUUCGUAGAUAUUCGCAAGAACACCAGUGGCGAAGGCGGCUCACUGGCCCGAUACUGACGCUGAGGCACGAAAGCGUGGGGAGCGAACAGG
rnacentral:rRNA from 1 species